AUGCAAGUGCGAUGCAAGCAAGCACGACUUUGGAAUGAGUGGCAUCAUGAAAACAUCUUUAACAAACACAUUCACAGAGGCAUGUUUGCCUUGUGUGGUGGUCCGGCUCCGUCCAGCCGAGAGAGUAGUCUGGUCCGAGCACUCAGAAUCUGUCGCCUAGGCAUCCGCUGCUUGCAGCCUGGAUGCUACCUGAUUGGCUCACCAAGCACACAAGCAGAGAUCAGGAGCGAGCUGCACCGAGAAAGCACGUCUGAUCACACAUGCUUUGCCUGCGCCGCCUUGGCUCUGGAAGACGGCCACCUGACAAUGAAGCACUCGUCCUAUACAACCUCCCGGCCAGUUUGUUUCUUGUCGAACCUGACUGUUCAGAUGGGCUUGAAGCCCCCUUGGGAAAAUGGGUUGAAAGACUCGCUUUUGGUGUUAGCAACACGUAUCCUUGAGGAUGUGCAAAAAUAG
rnacentral:rRNA from 1 species